rnacentral:rRNA from 1 species
UACGUAGGGUGCAAGCGUUGUCCGGAAUUAUUGGGCGUAAAGAGCUCGUCGGCGGUUUGUCGCGUCUGCUGUGAAAACCCGAGGCUCAACCUCGGGCCUGCAGUGGGUACGGGCAGACUAGAGUGCGGUAGGGGAGAUUGGAAUUCCUGGUGUAGCGGUGGAAUGCGCAGAUAUCAGGAGGAACACCAAUGGCGAAGGCAGAUCUCUGGGCCGUAACUGACGCUGAGGAGCGAAAGCAUGGGGAGCGAACAGG